rnacentral:tRNA from 1 species
AAAAUUUUAUGUUAAUUAAAACUAAUAAUCUUCAAAAUUAUAUAUACAUAAAUUAUAAAUGUAAAUUUUA